ACGACUCUCGGCAACGGAUAUCUCGGCUCUCGCAUCGAUGAAGAACGUAGCGAAAUACGAUACUUGGUGUGAAUUGCAGAAUCCCGUGAACCAUCGAGUUUUUGAACGCAAGUUGCGCCCAAAGCCAUUAGGCUAAGGGCACGUCUGCCUGGGCGUCACGC
rnacentral:rRNA from 1 species